AAGAUCCCAGCAUAGUCCUUCUGGAAAUUCUGAUCCUCAGGAACAACGCGGUACAGAACAUCUGGAUUCAAGAAAUGGCUUCCCACGUAACUGUGUAAGUAGGACCCAUGCUGAGUACUGGCAGAGGAAUCGGAAACGACUGAAGUCCAAAACCACCACACAAGUGGAUGGUGUUCCCCAGUACAUCAAGGCAAAACUUCUGAUUUGUAAUUUCCAAGGAAAACUUCCCACCGCCCCUCAGCAAGUGGGACAGCCAGCUUACAGAUUUGGACCUGGAUCCUUCUGGUUUUUUACGCAGGAAUUACCGAUUUUUUUUGUUAAUUGGUGCAUACGUCAGAGCUGGCGCAGGUGCGAAGCCAACGAGGUGCCCAGCUGCGGGGGUGGAC